GCCAGGUAAGUCCCCCGACCGCGAUCUGCACGGGGUAGCCGCUGGCCACGUGUGUCAGCCGAUUUGAAAUCGGCUGACACACGUUAAAAAACUGAUCGCAGUGACAGCCUGUCACUGCGAUCAGUGACUGCAGAUCGCGGUCACCGGCCACAGGGGGGGUUGCCUGGGGGGCCGGGCAUCCCCCCCGACCGCGAUCUGCAGCGGGCGAAUAGCGCCGGCCACAUGGGCGGCCAUUAAAGUGAGGGCGUACUAUUACGCCCGCCGGCGUUUAGAGCUGGCUCCUGCAGGGCGUAAUAGUACGCCC